AUUGAACGCUGGCGGCAUGCCUUACACAUGCAAGUCGAACGGCAGCACGGGGGCGAACCCUCGGUGGCGAGUGGCGAACGGGUGAGUAAUGCAUCGGAACGUGCCCAGUAGUGGGGGAGUAACUAGUCGAAAGAUUAGCUAAUACCGCAUACGACCUAUGGGUGAAAGCGGGGGAGUUCGCAAGAACCUCGCGCUAUCGGAGCGGCCGAUGUCUGAUUAGCUAGUUGGCGGGGAAAAGCCCACCAAGGCUUCGAUCAGUAGCUGGUCUGAGAGGACGACCAGCCACACUGGGACUGAGACACGGCCCACGACUCCUACGGGAGGCAGCAGGUGGGGUAAGUUUUGGACAAUGGGCGCAAGCCUGAUCCAGCCAUGCCGCGUGCGGGAAGAAGGU
rnacentral:rRNA from 1 species